rnacentral:rRNA from 1 species
UACGUAGGAGGCAAGCGUUGUCCGGAAUUACUGGGCGUAAAGCGCGUGUAGGUGGUGGGACAAGUCUGCUGUGAAAGCGCCUGGCUUAACCGGGCGAGGUCGGCGGAAACUGUCCGACUCGAGGACGGUAGAGGGGGGUGGAAUUCCCGGUGUAGUGGUGAAAUGCGUAGAGAUCGGGAGGAACACCUGUGGCGAAGGCGGCCCCCUGGGCCGGCCCUGACACUGAGACGCGACAGCGUGGGGAGCAAACAGG